AGAGUUUGAUCCUGGCUCAGGACGAACGCUGGCGGCGUGCUUAACACAUGCAAGUCGAACGGACUGGCCCUGGCUUUUUUUGGGGUUGGUGAGUGGCGAACGGGUGAGUAACACGUGAGUAACCUGCCCUUGACUCUGGGAUAAGCGCCGGAAACGGUGUCUAAUACUGGAUGUGACUUCUGCCUGCAUGGGUGGGGGUGGAAAGAUUUUUUGGUUGGGGAUGGGCUCGCGGCUUAUCAGCUUGUUGGUGGGGUGAUGGCUUACCAAGGCUUUGACGGGUAGCCGGCCUGAGAGGGUGACCGGUCACAUUGGGACUGAGAUACGGCCCAGACUCCUACGGGAGGCAGCAGUGGGGAAUAUUGCACAAUGGGCGGAAGCCUGAUGCAGCGACGCCGCGUGAGGGAUGGAGGCCUUCGGGUUGUGAACCUCUUUCGCUCGUGGUCAAGCCGCCCCUGUGGGGGGUGGUGAGGGUAGCGGGUAAAGAAGCUCCGGCUAACUACGUGCCAGCAGCCGCGGUAAUACGUAGGGAGCGAGCGUUGUCCGGAAUUAUUGGGCGUAAAGGGCUUGUAGGCGGUUUGUUGCGUCUGCCGUGAAAUUCCCUGGCUUAACUGGGGGCGUGCGGUGGGUACGGGCAGGCUUGAGUGCGGUAGGGGAGACUGGAAUUCCUGGUGUAGCGGUGGAAUGCGCAGAUAUCAGGAGGAACACCGGUGGCGAAGGCGGGUCUCUGGGCGUUACUGACGCUGAGGAGCGAAACGUUGGGGAGCGAACAGGAUUAAAUACCCUGGUAGUCCAUGCUGUAAACGUUGGGCACUAGGUGUUGGGGCCUCCCUUGGUUUCGCGCCGUAGCUAACGCUUUAAUUGCCCCCCUGGGGAGUACGGCGCAAGCUAAAACUCCAAGGAAUUGACGGGGGCCCGCAAAACGGGGGGAGCAUGCGGAUUAAUUCGAUGCAACCGCAAAGAACCUUACCAAGGCUUGACAUGCGCCCUGAGCACCCUGAGUGGGUGCCAUUGGUUGGGGGUGCCAGGGGUCGCAUGGUUGUCGUCAGCUCGUGUCGUAGAGAUGUUGGGUUAAGUCCCGCAACGAGCGCAACCACCCUUGCCCUAUGUUGCCAGCACGUGAUGGUGGGGACUCGUGGGGGACUGCCGGGGUUAACUCGGAGGAAGGUGGGGAUGACGUCAAAUCAUCAUGCCCCUUAUGUCUUGGGCUCCACGCAUGCUACAAUGGCUGGUACAGAGGGUUGCGAUGCCGUGAGGUGGAGCGAAUCCCUUAAAGCUGGUCUCAGUUCGGAUUGGGGUCUGCAACUCGACCCCAUGAAGGUGGAGUCGCUAGUAAUCGCAGAUCAGCAGUGCUGCGGUGAAUACGUUCUCGGGCCUUGUACACACCGCCCGUCACGUCAUGAAAGUUGGUAACGCCCGAAGCCCAUGGCCUAACCGGUUUGUCUGGGGGGAGUGGUCGAAGGUGGGACUGGCGAUUGGGACGAAGUCGUAACAAGGUAGCCGUACCGGAAGGUGCGGCUGGAUCACCUCCUU
rnacentral:rRNA from 1 species